AAAAGCCUGGUCCUGACUUUAACAUCAGUUAUAACCCAACUUACACAUGCAAGUAUCCGCACUCCCGUGAGAAUGCCCUUUCCCCCCGGCAGGAGAAAAGGAGCAGGCAUCAGGCACACACUCGUUGCCCAAAACGCCUUGCUUAGCCACACCCCCAAGGGAUCGCAGCAGUGACAGACAUUAAGCCAUGAGCGAAAGCUUGACUUAGUUAGGGUUGAUAGGGCCGGUAAAACUCGUGCCAGCAACCGCGGUUAUACGAGAGGCCCGAAUUGAUACACUAACGGCGUAAAGUGUGAUUAAAGAUAAACCAAACUAGAGCCAAACACCCCUUAUGCUGUCAUACGCCAUGGGGGUCACGAAGACCAACAACGAAGGUGGUUCUAAUGACUUGAUCUUGAACUCACGACAGCCAAGAUACAAACUGGGAUUAGAUACCCCAUUAUGCUUGGCCUUAAACUAAGGUGAAAAUACUACAAACUUCGCCCGCCAGGGAACUACGAGCCCUAGCUUAAAACCCAAGGGACUUGGCGGUGCCUCAAACCCACCUAGAGGAGCCUGUCCUAUAACCGAUGACCCCCGUUUAACCUCACCCCUCCUUGCCAAUCCCGCCUAUAUACCGCCGUCGCCAGUUUACCUUUUGAGAGAACAGCAGUAAGCAAAACGGGUAAUACCCAACACGUCAGGUCGAGGUGUAGCGAAUGGAGGGGGAAGAGAUGGGCUACAUUUUCUGAUAACAGAACAUUACGAAGAGUACAAUGAAAGAUGUACGGCCGAAGGUGGAUUUAGCAGUAAAAAGGAAGAAGAGUGUUCUUU
rnacentral:rRNA from 1 species